AGGCCCGUUACCUGCGGUGCUUACACAUGCAGUCGACGCUGAAGCCUGGUGCUUGCACCGGGUGGAUGAGUGGCGAACGGGUGAGUAACACGUGAGUAACCUGCCCCUGACUUCGGGAUAAGCCCGGGAAACUGGGUCUAAUACCGGAUACGACUGCCGGACGCAUGUCUGGUGGUGGAAAGUUUUUUCGGUUGGGGAUGGGCUCGCGGCCUAUCAGUUUGUUGGUGAGGUAAUGGCUCACCAAGACGACGACGGGUAGCCGGCCUGAGAGGGCGACCGGCCACACUGGGACUGAGACACGGCCCAGACUCCUACGGGAGGCAGCAGUGGGGAAUAUUGCACAAUGGGGGAAACCCUGAUGCAGCGACGCAGCGUGCGGGAUGACGGCCUUCGGGUUGUAAACCGCUUUCAGCAGGGAAGAAGCGCAAGUGACGGUACCUGCAGAAGAAGUACCGGCUAACUACGUGCCAGCAGCCGCGGUAAUACGUAGGGUACGAGCGUUGUCCGGAAUUAUUGGGCGUAAAGAGCUCGUAGGUGGUUGGUCACGUCUGCUGUGGAAACGCAACGCUUAACGUUGCGCGUGCAGUGGGUACGGGCUGACUAGAGUGCAGUAGGGGAGUCUGGAAUUCCUGGUGUAGCGGUGAAAUGCGCAGAUAUCAGGAGGAACACCGGUGGCGAAGGCGGGACUCUGGGCUGUAACUGACACUGAGGAGCGAAAGCAUGGGGAGCGAACAGGAUUAGAUACCCUGGUAGUCCAUGCCGUAAACGUUGGGCACUAGGUGUGGGGGGCAUUCCACGUUCUCCGCGCCGUAGCUAACGCAUUAAGUGCCCCGCCUGGGGAGUACGGUCGCAAGGCUAAAACUCAAAUGAAUUUGAACGGAAAUAAUGUG
rnacentral:rRNA from 1 species